rfam:Ornithorhynchus anatinus chromosome 4, whole genome shotgun sequence.
GGCAGCGUGGCUAAGUGGAAAAAGCCCGGGCUUUGGAGUCAGAGGUCAUGAGUUUGAAUCCCAGCUCUGCCA